UACCAAUCAUCAGCACACCCCUUCUGUUCUCAACUUCUGUUAACAUUUCCCUCACCUUCUGCCUCCAGCUGAAAUUUGACUCUGCUGAAGACAUUUCUUCCCAUAUAGGCCUUUCAAGUGGUGCUGGUUUUCGAACAUUCCUUGUACACCUGGGUGGAUUCUCAACCACUAGACCACCAGAGAAGCCGCUUCAGCAGCUUUUGACAGAGGUUCUAUCGUCAACCUGGAGAAUCUCAUGAACAGCAAAUCAGCGAUUUUAUAAAGGUCCUUUAAAUAUUUAAGGCCAAAAUGACAUAAUCUUCUAAUCUUUUCUUCUUAAGAUCAGGUUCUAAUUAUUUGAACUGUUACUAUAUGAACCUGAUCCUUUUCUCUAAAGCCUUAUGGUUCCUCCACAUUUUAUUUUUUCUUUAGUUAGAAAAAUAUGUUUGUUACAAUAAACUCAUAGGGAGGAAAAAAGAUUAUUCUUUCCUCUCGCAAUAUUGUCUGAUUGUUUCAUAAUCUGUACAUAU